rnacentral:rRNA from 1 species
AGAGUUUGAUCCUGGCUCAGGACGAACGCUGGCGGCGUGCCUAAUACAUGCAAGUCGAACGAGAGCGACCGGUGCUUGCACUGGUCAAUCUAGUGGCGAACGGGUGAGUAACACGUGGGUAACCUGCCCAUCAGAGGGGGAUAACAUUCGGAAACGGAUGCUAAAACCGCAUAGGUUCUUGAGUCGCAUGACUCGAGAAGGAAAAGAGGCUUCGGCUUCUGCUGAUGGAUGGACCCGCGGUGCAUUAGCUAGUUGGUGAGGUAACGGCUCACCAAGGCCGUGAUGCAUAGCCGACCUGAGAGGGUGAUCGGCCACAUUGGGACUGAGACACGGCCCAAACUCCUACGGGAGGCAGCAGUAGGGAAUCUUCCGCAAUGGACGCAAGUCUGACGGAGCAACGCCGCGUGAGUGAAGAAGGAUUUCGGUUCGUAAAACUCUGUUGUUAGAGAAGAACAGCGCAUAGAGUAACUGUUAUGCGUGUGACGGUAUCUAACCAGAAAGCCACGGCUAACUACGUGCCAGCAGCCGCGGUAAUACGUAGGUGGCAAGCGUUGUCCGGAUUUAUUGGGCGUAAAGCGAGCGCAGGCGGUCAAUUAAGUCUGAUGUGAAAGCCCCCGGCUCAACCGGGGAGGGUCAUUGGAAACUGGUUGACUUGAGUGCAGAAGAGGAGAGUGGAAUUCCAUGUGUAGCGGUGAAAUGCGUAGAUAUAUGGAGGAACACCAGUGGCGAAGGCGACUCUCUGGUCUGUAACUGACGCUGAGGCUCGAAAGCGUGGGUAGCAAACAGGAUUAGAUACCCUGGUAGUCCACGCCGUAAACGAUGAGUGCUAAGUGUUGGAGGGUUUCCGCCCUUCAGUGCUGCAGUUAACGCAUUAAGCACUCCGCCUGGGGAGUACGACCGCAAGGUUGAAACUCAAA